GGUAUAGCUCACUGGUAGUGUGCUUGCCUAGCCUGCAAGAGGCCCUGGGUUCAAUCCCCAGUAUC
rnacentral:tRNA from 1 species